CUACGGGGUGCUGCAGUGGGGAAUAUUGCACAAUGGGGGAAACCCUGAUGCAGCCAUGCCGCGUGUAUGAAGAAGGCCUUCGGGUCGUAAAGUACUUUCAGCAGUGAGGAAGGGUGAUAAAUUAAUACUUUAUCAUUUUGACGUUAGCUGCAGAAGAAGCACCGGCUAACUCCGUGCCAGCAGCCGCGGUAAUACGGAGGGUGCGAGCGUUAAUCGGAAUUACUGGGCGUAAAGCGCAUGCAGGUGGUCUGUUAAGUCAGAUGUGAAAGCCCGGGGCUUAACCUCGGAAUCGCAUUUGAAACUGGCAGGCUAGAGUACGGUAGAGGGGGGUAGAAUUUCAGGUGUAGCGGUGAAAUGCGUAGAGAUCUGAAGGAAUACCGGUGGCGAAGGCGGCCCCCUGGACAGAUACUGACACUCAGAUGCGAAAGCGUGGGGAGCAAACAGGAUUAGAUACCCGCGUAGUC
rnacentral:rRNA from 1 species